rnacentral:misc_RNA from 1 species
GAUGAAGAACGUAGCGAAAUGUGAUAAGUAAUGUGAAUUGCAGAAUUCAGUGAAUCAUCGAAUCUUUGAACGCACAUUGCGCCCCCUGGUAUUCCGGGGGGCAUGCCUGUUCGAGCGUCAUUUCACCACUCAAGCCUCGCUUGGUAUUGGGCAACGCGGUCCGCCGCGUGCCUCAAAUCGACCGGCUGGGUCUUCUGUCCCCUAAGCGUUGUGGAAACUAUUCGCUAAAGGGUGCUCGGGAGGCUACGCCGUAAAACAAACCCAUUUCUAAGGUUGACCUCGGAUCAGGGAGGGAUACCCGCUGAACUUAAGCAUAUCAAUAAGCGGAGGA